GGUGAAAACUUCCCUUAUCGAUAAAAGUUUUACAAGGUACUCAUUUCACAGGCAUUCAAAUCAAAACUGUCAAGUUCACUGUUACACAACUUUUCACGACCCGAAACCUGGAGACUUUGACUACAGGAUUGUUCCAUUCAGUUAUAAAGAUUUUCCAGUGCCCACACAGCGAAAGGCAAACACCCCCGACUGACUUUUGCAUCAUUCCCUCCUUAAACUCAAAAGCGAUCUUUAAUCUGUAGAAGAGAGAACUCUGAACCAUUCUUUAAUCUCGUACCAACUUCAGACAGCAGGUCAGCAUCUGUAGGGGCCGAAGAUUUAUCCUUCCAGUCGUGUCAUGUUGCAUUGGAAAGGAGGGGCCCAGUGUGAUGGAGCUACAGGUCACUGUUGGGCUACAGAUGAAGUCAGUGGCUUUCAUCAGACGUAAAGGCGGGGGUGUCUGUAAAUUAUGAAUGAAGAACCACUUUGUGGACGAAGGGGAUGAUGCAGAUUAUUCAUCCCUACUUCCUUCAGUGCAACUUCUCUGGCGGACGGGUUCUACUCCAGAGAGACGAGGGGGGACAGCGUUACUCAAUGGAGCAACACAAAUAGAUUAAAGGUGGCAGUAAAUUACUACUAUCCUUUUGUAUUUUAAAUCUCUUUUUUCAGUUUUGAACUGGUGAGGGUUUAUACUUGCUAUGUAGCUUUUGCAGAUGUCAGGUGUAUAAUUUACCAUUACGUUUUUAUGUAGCUGUAUUUUAUUUGUUUAUGUGUUGUUCAGUAUCUUCUAAUGUUAAACUCUUUAGUCUAAUAGAAAGGAUCGGAAAUCAAUCAGCAACAAACUAAUCAGUAUUCACUGUAUAUUUUCUUAUUCACAUUUUUUAUUUACUUAUAAAAAUUAAGAUUGAGUUACCACCAAUCAAAAUAAAUACAUAUGAUCAAAACCUAUUUUGCUAACUAGUUAUAUUUCCUGAACUGAUGUUGCACUUUUCCAGUCCUACUGAUCACUGACUUCAGGCACAUUCAUCCAGCUGUGCUAACAAACACACACACAUUCACAGAUGUGUGGCCAACACGGGGUUAAGUGUCUUGCCCAGGGGAACAUCGACAUGUGGCGGGAAGAAAGUUGGACUUUAACCCACAGCUUUCUAAUUGCAAGACCACUCAGCCACAGGUCACACCACAGCAAUAAAAUAUGUUAAAAAAAAAAAAUUUAAGUAGUAAUUGAAAAUAUAACAUAGAGAAAAACAAAUUUCACAGAUUAUUGCUACAGGAAGAGAGACUAGUAGCAACAUUCCUCUUUUUGCACUCUGAGAUGCCGCACUGUUUACAUUAACUCUUGUUUAUGUGACUUCAGCCUUACUGCCUUUGUAUGUCAUUGUUAAAAGCAGGCUGUUUAGCUCCAGAAUAAAUGUUUUUAAUUUAUUUUUGAAGACACGCCUUUGUCUGGCAGUUCCCGCUUGGGGCGAAACAUCAUUGAUGUGGAGAGGAAGAAUGAUAGCUGCUGAUCAUGUAGCCUGUCGGCUGCGGAUGACUUGAGUGGAACAGAUCAAGUUAUGGAUGAUUCAUUUCAACUCUGAAGCGAUACUCGUCUGCUGACAUAAUCAGGACCUCACUGACUUUACAGGUCAGCAGUGGAGGGGGGAAAGAGGGCAAGCAGGAAGGUGUGGUGCAUAAACAAGCUUUAGUUGGAAAUAUACAAAAUGUCCAUUAAAUACACCCUCUUUCAAGUUCACCUACAUGCUGAAUAUCUCCUAAUAUGGUUUGCUUUUCAUUUUUCACCCAGAAACUUUAUGAAAUAUCCUGUCUGUGUUUCUCCCGGUUCAGAAACUUAUAAUUAUUGAAUUUAUCUGUGAGCAGCACACCUGCACGGGAUCACUGAUGUGGUAGAUGUUCAGUUCUGAAACAAUCCCGAGUCGGGUCCUGUCUGAUGGAGGUAUAGGAGCCAGCAGGAGGAGGCUUUGGGAGGAGCCAAUGGCAGAGGAAGCUCUGAAGAAGAAACAAAAAAAAGAGGGACAGAGUCAGAGGAGGGGGUGAAAAAAGGUAGGAUGGGGAGGGAAGAAAAAAAUAAAAAGGAGGCUCUGAGAGGGAUCUAACUCUGGCAUAAAAGUAAAUUCAAAUGCAUUAUUCAUGGAUUUCUAUGUCAAAAUAUCAUUUACGUGUGCUGUGUUGACUCAUGGUUCAUAAAAUGAGAAGGACAUGAAAAGAAAGAAAGGAUGGAAGAAAACAAACAACUCAGGAGGCUCCUGUUUAUUAUUCUUUAUCCACCCAAUAAGCAACUAUCUUGUCAGAGUAACACUACCAUCAAAGUUUGCAUAUUUAAAGAGAGACUGAGGGAGUCUUGGUUGUAUUUUCAACAGACUUAAAGCACAAAGCUCCAGGUUUUUAAAAAUGAAAUCAUAUAAAUAAAUCACAAUUGAAUUGUCUUGAUUGAUUAAGUCUUCAAGCAGUCCUUAAAGCCUGGGCCAAGCAAACCAGAGUUGGUGAGACUUUUUGGGUCUGCAAAUUUUUAUUUUGGAUUCCCUGCACAAUGAGUGAAGCCACUACUGUACCGACAUGAGUCUCCUCUGUCUCUUUACAAGUACAACACCACAGCAACCCCCACAGGUGCACAGCAGUAUUACUGACUCAAUCAACUUUAGUCACGUUUAAUUACAGUGGUUUCCAUGUUGCAGGUUGAUAGCUGGAUAAAACCGAAAGGUCACGAGACGAUUAACUGGAUAAAAAAAACUGACUACGGUGUUCCUGUGCAUGAAAAUAAAUUGCGCAUUUAAAUUUAUCAAACUAUAAAGGUAAAUAAAGAGCAAAAUAAAGGUAAACACAAACGAGGGCCUCAAAGAUCAUCAUAUCGGUGUGCGUGUGUGCAGAGGCUGCCCAGCACAUGUGACCUGCUCCACUUUUAUUUUGAUUUAUAAGCCUGCUGUAGAGCCUCAUCACAGAAUCGCUUCAUCUUCUCUCCUUUAUUACACCACAUUUGUUUUCAUUUUCCUCCCAAGUUGGGGCUGAAUACAUUACAGUUUUCCCAUGGGGCUGCGGUGGGGCCAGCCUCUCCACCACCAAUGGGACGCCAGGAUGACAGGGAGGGAUUUCUCGGCGCGUUUCAUCAUUAGCAGCGUUAGCAGUGUUUUCACACUAAAGACGUUGUUACUGGAUUGCUGCUAUUUUGUGGUACCAGCACAGCGGAUGCUGGUCAAGCACAUUGAUCGGCAUGACAUCAAUCAGAGCCGCUCAAGUCACUGAUCAAGUGGUUGGUGAGUGAGUAACUGUGGUAAAACCUAAAAACAAGCUUUAGUAUGAAAUCAACCACAGUUUCAAUUUCUGUUUUAUUUUAAAUUAGGUGGUUCUGUCAUUCCUGUAUGCCUGGGGCUAACAUUGAGAGACAAAUCUCGUUCAGACUUUGAAAGAUACUUAAGAUAAGAACAUGAGUGGAGAUAAUCUGGCAACUGAGUUUAGCAUAGAGAGGUCAGUGACAGGUUAAUGCACACUUAAAUGGAGGAGGGGAGCUGAGACAUUGAGAUGUCCAAUCAUCAUGGUGCACAAGUGCAUAAAAAAAUGAUAAUAUGGGUACAUUAUUCAUACAAUAAUGUCCCAAGUUAAUGCAAAAUUAGUACAUUACAAGCAAUUGUUUCAUCUGUGCAUUACUGUUAUGUAGCACUAAAAGGAGAAGCUUUCAAAAUGUUAUUAUACAUGAAUUUUUUUGUCGGGUGCAUAUUUUCAACGCCCUUCACUUAGAUAAAGCUGAAUAAUAUCUUGUUUUAUCACUUGCCUUCACAUGUGAUCUCAGUCAAAAGUGCUGAUGUUCUUCAAAGAUCUCAGAGGUUUAUUGGAGAACACUAGUGAACAAGCAGCUACAGGUGAGCCUGAGGAGGAUAUUAAAAUUUGAAAUCAAAACAUGAUGUUUUGAACCCAUGCACAGAGCACUAUACAGUCAAUCAUACAGAAAUGUAAAAUGUCUGACAGAACUGCAGACCAAGUCAUGGACAUCCAGUUGGUCACAGAAACAGUCAAGAAGAGCGUGGUAACUUUGGAAGAGCUGCAGG